GCCUUAGUGGUAAAAUGGUAGAUAUGCGAGACUCAGAAUCUCGUGCUACAGAGUGUGGGGGUCUGAGUCCUCUUCAAGGCU
rnacentral:tRNA from 1 species